GUCCAGCUGACGAGUCCCAAAUAGGACAAAAUGCACAUCCAAAAU
rnacentral:hammerhead_ribozyme from 1 species